rnacentral:rRNA from 1 species
UAGGGAAUCUUCCGCAAUGGACGAAAGUCUGACGGAGCAACGCCGCGUGAGCGAAGAAGGCCUUCGGGUCGUAAAGCUCUGUUGUUAGGGAAGAACAAGUAUCGGAGUAACUGCCGGUACCUUGACGGUACCUAACCAGAAAGCCACGGCUAACUACGUGCCAGCAGCCGCGGUAAUACGUAGGUGGCAAGCGUUGUCCGGAAUUAUUGGGCGUAAAGCGCGCGCAGGCGGUCCUUUAAGUCUGAUGUGAAAGCCCACGGCUCAACCGUGGAGGGUCAUUGGAAACUGGGGGACUUGAGUGCAGAAGAGGAGAGUGGAAUUCCACGUGUAGCGGUGAAAUGCGUAGAGAUGUGGAGGAACACCAGUGGCGAAGGCGACUCUCUGGUCUGUAACUGACGCUGAGGCGCGAAAGCGUGGGGAGCAAACAGGAUUAGAUACCCUGGUAGUCCACGCCGUAAACGAUGAGUGCUAAGUGUUAGAGGGUUUCCGCCUUUAGUGCUGCAG